AGCGAACGCUGGCGGCAGGCCUAACACAUGCAAGUCGAACGAAGAAACCCUUCGGGGUGGAUUAGCGGCAGACGGGUGAGUAACACGUGGGUAACCUGCCUCAAAGAGGGGGAUAGCCUCCCGAAGGGGAGAUUAAUACCGCAUAAUAUCAUGUUUUCGCAUGAAGAUAUGAUUAAAGGAGUAAUCCACUUUGAGAUGGACCCGCGGCGCAUUAGCUAGUUGGUGAGGUAACGGCUCACCAAGGCCACGAUGCGUAGCCGACCUGAGAGGGUGAUCGGCCACAUUGGAACUGAGACACGGUCCAGACUCCUACGGGAGGCAGCAGUGGGGAAUAUUGCACAAUGGGCGAAAGCCUGAUGCAGCAACGCCGCGUGAGUGAUGACGGCCUUCGGGUUGUAAAACUCUGUCUUUGGGGACGAUAAUGACGGUACCCAAGGAGGAAGCCACGGCUAACUACGUGCCAGCCGCCGCAGUAAUAC
rnacentral:rRNA from 1 species